CUAAGGACGAACCGCAGUCGACUUGCGCCAGCCCAGAGGCUGGGGAGGCGUCCGAGCCUCCGUCCCGCCUCGUCGUCGAGAAAGGUGUUCUCUUGCUCUUCCACCUUAUACCAUGGGAUGACGUAGCAAGAAGCCCCUCAAGAGUUAUGAACCCCUUGACCUUGGACUUCCCAGCCUCCAGAACUAGGACAUCAGCAAUGUCUGGAGACAUUUCCAGUUGUCACUACUUGAGAGGAAGCACAAUCUGCCUCUAGAAGGGAGAGACCAGGGAUGCUGCUGCUCAAUAUCCUAUAAUGCACAGAACAGCUUCUACGACAGAGUUAUCCCACCAAAAAUGUCAGUAGUGCCAAGGUUGAGAGAACCUGCUCUAGGGUAAUCAGGGUGGUCUCAAUCUCCCUGUCAGUAACUGAUUCAACUCACAUAAUAAUCUUAUGGGAGUGUGAUGUAAUUCUAGCCAAUAAAAUGCAAUGGGAAGUUGGCUGAGAUACUUCUGAAAAAAUCUUCUCUUACCCCUACAAAGAGACAUUCAUUUUCUGUUGAAAUGCAUUACUUUCCUAAAUAAAAUCAUAUUUACCAACAACGAGAAAAAGAGAAACAUGCAAGAAACCAUCUGUUUGCUGCUAGAUGCCAUUGUGUCUGCAAUGUGAUAUCUGGAACUAUGGCUGUCAUCCUGGAACCAUGAGAGGAGUUAGCUGAAGAAACAGGAGGAUGGCAAAGCGGAAGGAUGGAAGUUACCUGAGGCUGAGGACAUCAGUGCACCUCUGAUUUAACCAAUCCUUGAGACUUCUUGUUAUAUGAGAUAAUAAAUUCUAUUGCUAUUUAA